AACGUAGGACGCAAGCGUUAUCCGGAGUUACUGGGCGUAAAGGGCAGGCAGGCGGGUCGAUAAGUCGGAUGUGAAAUCUCCCUGGCUUAACCGGGAGAGUGCAUUUGAGACUGUCAACCUGGAGGGCAGCAGAGGAGCGUGGAAUUCCGGGUGGAGUGGUGAAAUGCGUAGAGAUCCGGAGGAACACCAGAGGCGAAAGCGGCGCUCUGGGCUGCACCUGACGCUGAACUGCGAAAGCCAGGGGAGCGAAUGGG
rnacentral:rRNA from 1 species